AAAGAUCUCUGCAUCACGAAGGACACAACAAAAUGGAACUAUCCUGAGAAGCUAUCUAUAAACUUCUGUGAAAACAGCCUUACAAGAUGGAGCAAUCAAUUCCACUGGAUACUAAGCAGUUGCUCACUUGUGCACAAGUUGGUGCAUCCAUUCCACGUGUAUGCUGUACUGGUCACUGCAGUCCACAGUCUCAGCUUAACACAUGGACUACAACUUCAUGCUACUACGGCUGCUGCUAAGUCCAUCUGCUAUCAGAGACAGGGUCUUCAUUACCAACUGGUGGGAGGAGGUCCACCUCCAAAACUCCAUCCAAGCAGGCUGCUUCCCAGGACCACUCUGGGUACCAAAUCUCAAAGGCAGGUACGUUGGCAGCACAAACAGAGAAAGAAACUCAAGGGUUGUAUGAAGGUAGGACUCUCUGGGUUUUCUUUUGUCUGGGAUCACAGGCAUCUAUAUUACUGCUUCCCUCUGUAUCUGCUGAAUGGUCCCCCUCCUCCACCAUUCUCUCUCUGUCUCUGUCUCUCUCUCUGUCUCUCUCUCUCUCUCUCUCGCAACUUCUAGGUAAACUCCCUGUAUUCCUGUGUGUACAUAGACAAGAAUGACAGUCAAAAAAUCAGUUUAAAUCUCUUUUCAAAUAACCAGCAGUCUAUUAAGUAUUGUUGAUUUAAAAUGCCAAAUUGUAGGCUAAGAAAAAAAAUAUUUAUCUAGCCAUGAUAAGAGUGCAUCAGCCUGGCCACGGUGGUUAAGAGGGUAAUGUGACAUAGAAAAGACACAUCUCAGGGCACCUGGGUGGCUCAGCAGUUGAGCAUCUGCUUUUGGCUCAGGUCAUGAUCCCAGCGUCCUGGGAUCAAGUCCUGCAUCAGGCUCCCCGCAGGGAACCUGCUUCUCCCUCUGCCUAGGUCUCUGCCUCUCUUUCAUGAAUAAAUAAAAUAUUUUAAAAGAAUAGGAAUUUUAU
ensembl:lncRNA